rnacentral:rRNA from 1 species
UACGGAGGGGACUAGCGUUGUUCGGAAUUACUGGGCGUAAAGCGCACGUAGGCGGAUUUGUAAGUCAGGGGUGAAAUCCCGGGGCUCAACCUCGGAACUGCCUUUGAUACUGCAAAUCUCGAGUCCGGAAGAGGUGAGUGGAAUUCCUAGUGUAGAGGUGAAAUUCGUAGAUAUUCGCAAGAACACCAGUGGCGAAGGCGGCCAACUGGUCCGGUACUGACGCUGAGGUGCGAAAAGCGUGGGGAGCAAACAGG